rnacentral:rRNA from 1 species
UACAGAGGGUGCGAGCGUUAAUCGGAAUUACUGGGCGUAAAGCGUGCGCAGGCGGUUAUGCAAGACAGAGGUGAAAUCCCCGGGCUCAACCUGGGAACUGCCUUUGUGACUGCAUAGCUAGAGUACGGUAGAGGGGGAUGGAAUUCCGCGUGUAGCAGUGAAAUGCGUAGAUAUGCGGAGGAACACCGAUGGCGAAGGCAAUCCCCUGGACCUGUACUGACGCUCAUGCACGAAAGCGUGGGGAGCAAACAGG